UGGGGAAUUUUGGACAAUGGGCGAAAGCCUGAUCCAGCAAUGCCGCGUGUGUGAAGAAGGCCUUCGGGUUGUAAAGCACUUUUGUCCGGAAAGAAAUCCUUGGCUCUAAUACAGUCGGGGGAUGACGGUACCGGAAGAAUAAGCACCGGCUAACUACGUGCCAGCAGCCGCGGUAAUACGUAGGGUGCAAGCGUUAAUCGGAAUUACUGGGCGUAAAGCGUGCGCAGGCGGUUUGCUAAGACCGAUGUGAAAUCCCCGGGCUCAACCUGGGAACUGCAUUGGUGACUGGCAGGCUAGAGUAUGGCAGAGGGGGGUAGAAUUCCACGUGUAGCAGUGAAAUGCGUAGAGAUGUGGAGGAAUACCGAUGGCGAAGGCAGCCCCCUGGGGCCAAUACUGACGCUCAUGCACGAAAGCGUGGGGAGCAAACAGGAUUAGAUACCCUGGUAGUCCACGCCCUAAACGAUGUCAACUAGUUGUUGGGGAUUCAUUUCCUCAGUAACGUAGCUAACGCGUGAAGUUGACCGCCUGGGGAGUACGGUCGCAAGAUUAAAACUCAAAGGAAUUGACGGGGUCAUAGCUGUUUCCU
rnacentral:rRNA from 1 species